UUAGCUCAUAUUUGUAUGGAAUCGAAUCGUUUGCCUUCGUUUUCCGCUAGGGGCGCUGUUCCAACUGCAUACAAAAUUGGGUUA
rnacentral:pre_miRNA from 1 species